AUCUUUCCUACAUGUCAAUCCCAUCAUUCAUCUAACCCUACACGCGCUCCACGGUUCUUCUUUCCCUUUCCUCACCUUCUUCAUAUCUGAUUCAAACUCAGACCUCUCUCUGUCAUUCCACCUUUCCUCAAGCAACUUUACUCAUUCAAAAUUCAAAUUCAUUAUCACCAAACCAAAUUUCAAAACCCAGAGAAAAAGAGAGAGAAGAGACUAGACGACCCAUGUUUCAUCUUUUCAAAAACCCUUUUCCCAACGCGUUUUCUUCAGAUCUUCGUUUUUCUUCGUUGUUUUUGACGAUUUCGUUUACAUAUUCGUGUUGAUCGCUCUUUGAUCUACGUUUUGUGUAUGGAUUUGAUGUGUUUCAUCAAAACACAUCAAAGCGAUUCAAGAACAUCAAAAUCCUCUGGCGCCCCUUUCUCUCUCUGGCGAUUCAAGAACAUCAAAGCGAUUUCACCAGAUCUAUGAAGAUUUCACAAGAUCCAAUUGAUUUGAGAUCCAAAUGAUUUCAGAUCUUCAUUGACCGUCUCUUAUUUUCGUCUCAUCUCAGGUGUUCGAUCAACUGCCGAGGUGACCAGAUUAGCCGAUUGCAAGGGAUGGUUUUUGCAGGUCUUGGGGCAACCAGCAGUUGCCAUUCACACCUCCUUGGUGUUCAUCGUUUUGUCAGUAAUGCCGACUACCUUUUGGAAGAGUAAAAUCCAAUUAUAUAAACAUCAUAUCAUCAUACUUCACAACCUUCUUCAUCAAUAUAUUGAAGAUCAGUCUUGCCAACUCGGAAUUUACCUAAAAGACGAAAAAAGUGAGCUCUUGGUUUUGGUAGAUAGAUCCGUUGGUGGAACCAACAUUGUAGAUUGGCAAUUGAAGUUAGUGCUCCAUAU